rnacentral:rRNA from 1 species
GAUGAACGCUGGCGGCGUGCCUAACACAUGCAAGUCGAGCGAAGCGCUUUACUUGAAUUCUUCGGAAGGAAAGUAUUGUGACUGAGCGGCGGACGGGUGAGUAACGCGUGGGUAACCUGCCUCAUACAGGGGGAUAACAGUUAGAAAUGACUGCUAAUACCGCAUAAGACCACAGCACCGCAUGGUGCGGGGGUAAAAACUCCGGUGGUAUGAGAUGGACCCGCGUCUGAUUAGCUAGUUGGUAAGGUAAGGGCUUACCAAGGCGACGAUCAGUAGCCGACCUGAGAGGGUGAUCGGCCACAUUGGGACUGAGACACGGCCCAAACUCCUACGGGAGGCAGCAGUGGGGAAUAUUGCACAAUGGGGGAAACCCUGAUGCAGCGACGCCGCGUGAGUGAUGAAGUAUUUCGGUAUGUAAAGCUCUAUCAGCAGGGAAGAAAAUGACGGUACCUGACUAAGAAGCACCGGCUAAAUACGUGCCAGCAGCCGCGGUAAUACGUAUGGUGCAAGCGUUAUCCGGAUUUACUGGGUGUAAAGGGAGCGUAGACGGAGAGGCAAGUCUGAUGUGAAAACCCGGGGCUCAACCCCGGGACUGCAUUGGAAACUGUUUUUCUAGAGUGUCGGAGAGGCAAGUGGAAUUCCUAGUGUAGCGGUGAAAUGCGUAGAUAUUAGGAGGAACACCAGUGGCGAAGGCGGCUUGCUGGACGAUGACUGACGUUGAGGCUCGAAAGCGUGGGGAGCAAACAGGAUUAGAUACCCUGGUAGUCCACGCCGUAAACCAAGAAAAUUAGGUUGUGGGGGGGCAAAGCCAUUCGGGGGCCGCAGCAAAACCCAAAAAGAAUUCCCCCCGGGGGAGACGGUUGGCAAGAAAGAAACUCAAGGAAAUGACGGGGGGCCCCACAAAGCGGGUGGAGCAUGUGGUUAAUUUGAAGGCAACGCGAAGAACCUUCCCAAGUCUUGACAUCCCUCUGACCGGCCCGUAACGGGGCCUUCCCUUCGGGGCAGAGGAGACAGGUGGUGCAUGGUUGUCGUCAGCUCGUGUCGUGAGAUGUUGGGUUAAGUCCCGCAACGAGCGCAACCCCUAUCCUUAGUAGCCAGCAGGUGAAGCUGGGCACUCUAGGGAGACUGCCGGGGAUAACCCGGAGGAAGGCGGGGACGACGUCAAAUCAUCAUGCCCCUUAUGAUUUGGGCUACACACGUGCUACAAUGGCGUAAACAAAGGGAAGCGAGACAGCGAUGUUGAGCAAAUCCCAAAAAUAACGUCCCAGUUCGGACUGCAGUCUGCAACUCGACUGCACGAAGCUGGAAUCGCUAGUAAUCGCGAAUCAGAAUGUCGCGGCGA